AGAGUUUGAUCCUGGCUCAGAACGAACGCUGGCGGCAGGCUUAACACAUGCAAGUUGAACGGGAUUUGUAUGGUGCUUGCACCAUGUAAUGAGAGUAGCGCACUGGUGAGUAACACGUGGGAACAUACCUUGAAGUGGGGGACAACAGUUGGAAACGACUGCUAAUACCGCAUAAUCCCUGAGGGGGAAAGAUUUAUCGCUUUAAGAUUGGCCCGCGGAAGAUUAGGUAGUUGGUGGGGUAAAGGCCUACCAAGCCGACGAUCUAUAGCUGGUCUGAGAGGACGAACAGCCACAUUGGAACUGAGACACGGUCCAGACUCCUACGGGAGGCAGCAGUGAGGAAUAUUGGGCAAUGGAGGCAACUCUGACCCAGCCAUGCCGCGUGAGUGAGAAGGUUUUCGAAUUGUAAAGCUCUUUCGGGUGUGAAGAUGAUGACGGUAACACCAGAAGAAGCCCCGGCAAACUUCGUGCCAGCAGCCGCGGUAAUACGAAGGGGGCAAGCGUUGUUCGGAAUUACUGGGCGUAAAGGGUGUGUAGGCGGUUAAGUAAGAUAGUGGUGAAAUGCCGGGGCUCAACCUCGGAAUUGCCAUUAUGACUAUUUAGCUAGAAUGAUGCAGAGGAUAGCGGAAUACCCAGUGUAGAGGUGAAAUUCGUAGAUAUUGGGUAGAACACCAGUGGCGAAGGCGAGUAUCUGGCUGUCAACUGACGCUGAGGCACGAAAGCAUGGGGAUCAAACAGGAUUAGAUACCCUGGUAGUCCAUGCUGUAAACGAUGAAUGCUAGUUGUCGGCAAAAGCCGGUGACGCAGUUAACGCGAUAAGCAUUCCGCCUGGGGAGUACGGUCGCAAGAUUAAAACUCAAAGGAAUUGACGGGGACCCG
rnacentral:rRNA from 1 species